rnacentral:lncRNA from 1 species
ACACCCUAAGAGCCAUCAUCAGCAAGUGCACCAUAAUCACCCUAGAGUUUCAAAUCUGACAGGAUCUCACGUUUGUAUGUACCAUACUAAUAAAUAAAUAGAGCUAAAACAUUGACUGUAUACAACCAUCUCACAACUAAAAUGAUCAGACAAAAAGCAGGAACAGAAUGUUGAGGAUCUGCAACACCAAAAGGAGUGAUGACCACGAUUCCUCCUGUCAGACACAGUAAUGUAAGAAAUGUGAGAAUAGCACUCCCUGAACUUUUUCACUACCAACAAAUUUGAUUGUCAAGUUACAGACACAGGAAAAAUACAAUGCAAGUCAGAAGGAAAUUAUUAUCUCCACUUACUUGUUGCUAUGAAGUUCAUUGAACCCUCUCAACUCAACUCUCUGACUUUUUUCUAAAGCCAAACCUUUUUGGUAAAAUACUCCAACUUUUCUUUGUCUUAGUCAACUUCUGCAGCUCGUUUCUGAUGCUUGAGCAUUCCUUCUCCAGCUCCAAAAGACGUUCCCUCAAGUUUUCAUUUCCCUCUGCAGUGUCCCGUUGACA